UCCCUGGUGGCUCAGUGAUAAAGAAUCUGCCUGCAAUGCAGAAGGCCCAGGUUCGAUCCCUGGGUGGGGAA